rnacentral:rRNA from 1 species
UACGUAGGCAGCGAGCGUUGUCGUGAGUUACUGGGCGUAAAGAGUGCGUAGGCGGUGUUCCAAGUCUGUUGUGAAAUCUCCCGGCUCAACUGGGAGGGUGCGGCGGAAACUGGGACGCUGGAGUACGGGAGAGGUAAGCGGAAUUCCUGGUGUAGCGGUGAAAUGCGUAGAUAUCAGGAGGAACACCUGCGGUGUAGACGGCUUACUGGACCGUAACUGACGCUGAGGCACGAAAGCGUGGGUAGCAAACAGG